rnacentral:rRNA from 1 species
CCUACGGGGGGCAGCAGUGAGGAAUAUUGGUCAAUGGGCGGGAGCCUGAACCAGCCAAGCCGCGUGAGGGAAGAAGGUACAGCGUAUCGUAAACCUCUUUUGUCAGGGAACAAAGGCGGGGACUAGUCCCCGGAUGAGGGUACCUGAAGAAAAAGCAUCGGCUAACUCCGUGCCAGCAGCCGCGGUAAUACGGAGGAUGCGAGCGUUAUCCGGAUUUAUUGGGUUUAAAGGGUGCGUAGGUUGGUUGUUAAGUCAGUGGUGAAAGUUUGUGGCUCAACCAUAAAAUUGCCGUUGAAACUGGAAGACUUGAGUGUGUUUGAGGUAGGCGGAAUGCGUGGUGUAGCGGUGAAAUGCAUAGAUAUCACGCAGAACUCCGAUUGCGAAGGCAGCUUACUAAGCCAUAACUGACACUGAAGCACGAAAGCGUGGGGAUCAAACAGGAUUAGAUACCCGAGUAGUC